rnacentral:ncRNA from 1 species
UUUAUAAUGCCCACGAUCUGUUGAAUUUUAGGAUUUUUACCCUUUCCUAAACAAUUAUUGUGGGCAUUGACAA